rnacentral:rRNA from 1 species
CUGGGAGGACCAUCUCCUAAGGCUAAAUACUCUCUAGUGACCGAUAGUGAACCAGUACCGUGAGGGAAAGGUGAAAAGCACCCCGGAAGGGGAGUGAAAUAGAACCUGAAACCGUGUGCUUACAAGUAGUCAGAGCCCGUUAAUGGGUGAUGGCGUGCCUUUUGUAGAAUGAACCGGCGAGUUACGAUUUGAUGCAAGGUUAAGCAGUAAAUGUGGAGCCGUAGCGAAAGCGAGUCUGAAUAGGGCGUUUAGUAUUUGGUCGUAGACCCGAAACCAGGUGAUCUACCCUUGGUCAGGUUGAAGUUCAGGUAACACUGAAUGGAGGACCGAACCGACUUACGUUGAAAAGUGAGCGGAUGAACUGAGGGUAGCGGAGAAAUUCCAAUCGAACCUGGAGAUAGCUGGUUCUCUCCGAAAUAGCUUUAGGGCUAGCCUCAAGUGAUGAUUAUUGGAGGUAGAGCACUGUUUGGACGAGGGGCCCCUCUCGGGUUACCGAAUUCAGACAAACUCCGAAUGCCAAUUAAUUUAACUUGGGAGUCAGAACAUGGGUGAUAAGGUCCGUGUUCGAAAGGGAAACAGCCCAGACCACCAGCUAAGGUCCCAAAAUAUAUGUUAAGUGGAAAAGGAUGUGGCGUUGCCCAGACAACUAGGAUGUUGGCUUAGAAGCAGCCAUCAUUUAAAGAGUGCGUAAUAGCUCACUAGUCGAGUGACACUGCGCCGAAAAUGUACCGGGGCUAAACAUAUUACCGAAGCUGUGGAUUGUCCUUUGGACAAUGGUAGGAGAGCGUUCUAAGGGCGUUGAAGCAUGAUCGUAAGGACAUGUGGAGCGCUUAGAAGUGAGAAUGCCGGUGUGAGUAGCGAAAGACGGGUGAGAAUCCCGUCCACCGAUUGACUAAGGUUUCCAGAGGAAGGCUCGUCCGC